rnacentral:rRNA from 1 species
CAAGAGCGUAUAUUAAAGUUGUUGCAGUUAAAAGCUCGUAGUUGGAUUUCUGGUACAACGCGCCUGGCCCGCUUACGUGAGUGCCGGUGCGCGUUUGCCAUCCUUCUAGAAACGUCUCUACUCGGGCAACUGAGCCGGAUUCGCGAUCUAGAUCUUUUACUUUGAAAAAUUAGAGUGUUUAAAGCAGGCUAUUGCCUUGAAUACAUUAGCAUGGAAUAAUAAUCUAGGACUUCGGUUCUAUUUUGUUGGUUUCUAGUACUGAAGUAAUGAUUGAUAGGGAUAGUUGGGGGUGGCUAGUAUUGUACCGGCCCAGAGGUGGAAAUUACUUUGGUAUUCGGUUCAAGACUAACUUAAUUGCGAAAGACAUUCACCAACGGAAUGUCUUUCCUUUUAAUUCAAGAACGAAAGUUAGGGGGAGUCGAAGAUGAUCAGAUACCGU